GCCGGGGUAGCUCAGAUGGUUAGAGCGGGCGUUUCAUACGCGCUAGGUCGGGGGUUCGACUCCCUCCUCCGGCACCA
rnacentral:tRNA from 1 species